GAUGAACGCUGGCGGCGUGCCUAAUACAUGCAAGUCGAGCGAACGGACGAGAAGCUUGCUUCUCUGAUGUUAGCGGCGGACGGGUGAGUAACACGUGGAUAACCUACCUAUAAGACUGGGAUAACUUCGGGAAACCGGAGCUAAUACCGGAUAAUAUUUUGAACCGCAUGGUUCAAAAGUGAAAGACGGUCUUGCUGUCACUUAUAGAUGGAUCCGCGCUGCAUUAGCUAGUUGGUAAGGUAACGGCUUACCAAGGCAACGAUGCAUAGCCGACCUGAGAGGGUGAUCGGCCACACUGGAACUGAGACACGGUCCAGACUCCUACGGGAGGCAGCAGUAGGGAAUCGUCCGCAAUGGGCGAAAGCCUGACGGAGCAACGCCGCGUGAGUGAUGAAGGUCUUCGGAUCGUAAAACUCUGUUAUUAGGGAAGAACAUAUGUGUAAGUAACUGUGCACAUCUUGACGGUACCUAAUCAGAAAGCCACGGCUAACUACGUG
rnacentral:rRNA from 1 species